rfam:Spinacia oleracea cultivar SynViroflay scaffold5891.con0010.1, whole genome shotgun sequence.
UUCUACUUGUAUUAGAAUUAGUAGCUUGAAAUGCCAGUUCUGCUUCAGAAAAUUCUUGAUAGAAAAAGCUGUUUUUAUAUCAUGAGCUAAA